rnacentral:rRNA from 1 species
GGCUCAGGAUGAACGCUAGCGGAGGCCUAAUACAUGCAAGUCGAACGGGUGAAUUAGCUUCGGUUGGUUCACUAGUGGCGCACGGGUGAGUAACGCGUACGCAAUCUGCCCUAUGCUGGGGAAUAGCCCUGGGAAACUGGGAGUAAUACGCCAUAGUUCUACGGAUCUGCAUGGAUUUGUAGAUAAAGCUGCGGCGGCACAGGAUGAGCGUGCGUCUGAUUAGGUAGUUGGUGAGGUAACGGCUCACCAAGCCGACGAUCAGUAAGGGGCGUGAGAGCGUGGCCCCUCACACGGGUACUGAGACACGGACCCGACUCCUACGGGAGGCAGCAGUAAGGAAUAUUGGACAAUGGGCGCAAGCCUGAUCCAGCCAUCCCGCGUGCUUGAUGAAGGCCCUCUGGGUUGUAAAGAGCUUUAGUCUGGGAAGAAACCGUUUUCUGCGGAAGACGCUGACGGUACCAGAAGAAUAAGCACCGGCUAACUCCGUG